CGCGGCCUAUCAGCUUGUUGGUGAGGUAAUGGCUCACCAAGGCGACGACGGGUAGCCGGCCUGAGAGGGUGACCGGCCACACUGGGACUGAGACACGGCCCAGACUCCUACGGGAGGCAGCAGUGGGGAAUAUUGCACAAUGGGCGCAAGCCUGAUGCAGCGACGCCGCGUGAGGGAUGACGGCCUUCGGGUUGUAAACCUCUUUCAGUAGGGAAGAAGCGAAAGUGACGGUACCUGCAGAAGAAGCGCCGGCUAACUACGUGCCAGCAGCCGCGGUAAUACGUAGGGCGCAAGCGUUAUCCGGAUUUAUUGGGCGUAAAGAGCUCGUAGGCGGUUUGUCGCGUCUAUCGUGAAAGUCCGAGGCUCAACCUCGGAUCUGCGGUGGGUACGGGCAGACUAGAGUGAUGUAGGGGAGACUGGAAUUCCUGGUGUAGCGGUGAAAUGCGCAGAUAUCAGGAGGAACACCGAUGGCGAAGGCAGGUCUCUGGGCAUUUACUGACGCUGAGGAGCGAAAGCAUGGGGAGCGAACAGGAUUAGAUACCCUGGUAGUCCAUGCCGUAAACGUUGGGCACUAGGUGUGGGGGACAUUCCACGUUUUCCGCGCCGUAGCUAACGCAUUAAGUGCCCCGCCUGGGGAGUACGG
rnacentral:rRNA from 2 species